GGCUCUGUGGCGCAAUGGAUAGCGCAUUGGACUUCUAGCGUGGCGCAGCGAUUCAAAGGUUGUGGGUUCGAGUCCCACCAGAGUCA